rnacentral:rRNA from 1 species
GAUGAACGCUGGCGGCGUGCCUAAUACAUGCAAGUCGAGCGAACAGAUGAGGAGCCUGCUCCUCUGGCGUUAGCGGCGGACGGGUGAGUAACACGUGGAUAACCUACCUAUAAGACUGGGAUAACUUCGGGAAACCGGAGCUAAUACCGGAUAAUAUAUUGAACCGCAUGGUUCAAUAGUGAAAGACGGUUUUGCUGUCACUUAUAGAUGGAUCCGCGCCGCAUUAGCUAGUUGGUAAGGUAACGGCUUACCAAGGCAACGAUGCGUAGCCGACCUGAGAGGGUGAUCGGCCACACUGGAACUGAGACACGGUCCAGACUCCUACGGGAGGCAGCAGUAGGGAAUCUUCCGCAAUGGGCGAAAGCCUGACGGAGCAACGCCGCGUGAGUGAUGAAGGUCUUCGGAUCGUAAAACUCUGUUAUUAGGGAAGAACAAAUGUGUAAGUAACUAUGCACGUCUUGACGGUACCUAAUCAGAAAGCCACGGCUAACUACGUG